AGGGGUAUAGCUCAGUUAGGUAGAGCACCUCGUUUCCACCGAUAAAGUCUACGGUUCGAAUCCCUAUAGCCCUA
rnacentral:tRNA from 1 species